AUUGAACGCUGGCGGAAUGCUUUACACAUGCAAGUCGAGCGGCAGCGCGGGGGCAACCCUGGCGGCGAGCGGCGAACGGGUGAGUAACAUAUCGGAACGUACCCCGUCGUGGGGGAUAACACAGCGAAAGCUGUGCUAAUACCGCAUACGACCUGAGGGUGAAAGCGGGGGAUCGCAAGACCUCGCGCGAUGGGAGCGGCCGAUAUCGGAUUAGCUUGUUGGUGAGGUAAAGGCUCACCAAGGCGACGAUCCGUAGCUGGUCUGAGAGGACGACCAGCCACACUGGAACUGAGACACGGUCCAGACUCCUACGGGAGGCAGCAGUGGGGAAUUUUGGGACAAUGGGGGGCAACCCUGAUCCAGCCAUUCCGCGUGAGUGAAGAAGGCCUUACGGGUUGUUAAAGGACUCGUUUCU
rnacentral:rRNA from 1 species